CAGUCGCCGCGGUAAUGCGAAGGGUGCAAGCGUUAAUCGGAAUUACUGGGCGUAAAGCGUGCGUAGGCGGCUUGGUAAGUUAGAGGUGAAAGCCUGGAGCUCAACUCCAGAAUUGCCUUUAAGACUGCCGAGCUAGCAGGUGAGAGAGGUAAGUGGAAUUCCGAGUGUAGAGGUGAAAUUCGUAGAUAUUCGGAAGAACACCAGUGGCGAAGGCGGCUUACUGGCUCAUACUGGACGCUGAGGUGCGAAAGCGUGGGGAGCAAACAGGAUUAGAGACCCGCGUAGUCCCUGUCUCUUAUAU
rnacentral:rRNA from 1 species